ensembl:lncRNA
UGGUCUGUUCAUGCUAUUCUUAGGCACUGCUGGUUGCCAUCUAGAGACCCACCAGCAUUGUGAUAUCUUGUUUAGAUAACAUCUUUUGUGGAAAAUUAAAAAAAAAAAGAAGGUUACUAGGAUGAUCAGGAAAGAUUUGGGUGAGUUGGGAAAUGAUUGCAGUCUACAGAAGCCUAAAAUCCUAUUGACUUUCAGAUGCCAGAAAGGCCUGCUCAUGUCUGCAAGAUGAGUUUCUCAUGGCUCUGUGAUGAUAAUGUGUUGAUCCUUAUCCAGCAUGAGCUAUCUACAUCAUCUUCCUUGACUGCUAAGCUCUCAGAGCAAACACUGCUGCUGAGGAACAAAAGUAAGGUUUUCAGACUCGUUUUGGGAAGAAUCUUUCUCAUCCACCACUGCAAGCUGUAGAGGAAAUCGAGUUCACCAACAAGUGUCUUCAUCCUGCUCUGGAGCAGAAGAAAACCGUGAUUACCUGGCAGCCAUUAGUUUACCUGUAGUGGGAGGCACCAUCAAUUUCCAUCAAUUUUACUGCUGCAAAAAUAAUGUGCUGCUGUAGUUCUUCCAAAGGUCAAUUUCUGCAUGAGAGCCCCAUCGCUCCACAGCAUCGCUCCUAACUUUUGUCAUGCUGCAAUGAAGCAUCCCUGGAGUUCUGCAAUGGUUCCUAUGUGGCUGGAGUGGCUUUCUUAUUUCAACCUCUUGAGCAUCGAUUGUUGAGUCGCUUCCUCAUCAUUAAAAGCUCGUCAGGGACAAGCUCUGGAGUUCAGAAGCUCUGUGCAGUCACCACGGCCUUCGGAUGCCCCAAGGGCACCAGCAGAGAGGAACGAGUGUGGCGAGAGCGCAGGCAGCUGUGAGCACACUGCAAUGUCAUUGCUGAUAUCUUCUCUGUGUUUUUAAAUACCAGUACAACAAAUGCCAGCACUGAACCAGAGGGAAAACUGAUGGCAUUCGGGGAUCACUGAAUGGAGGACUGGGCAUUCAGAGCUUCAUACUGCCCAGCAGUGAGAAGCAGACAUACGCUUUGCUGAUCUCAUGUACUCCUCCACCAUAAAAAGCUGCUCGCAGUUACAGUGAUGUUUCUAGAAGAGGAAACUUCAGGGUUGAGUUUCUCCUUUAGACGGUGCAAGUGCUCCCUGUAUUCUAUUCUUCAACCAUACAAAUGCUUAUAAAAUAGAAAUGUGAAUUGCCUCGGUGCUUUUAAAUACCUUAAAAAUAAUAAUUCAGGGACUCCUGUAUGAGAUGGAGCUGUCCCUCACUGCUUUAACCUGUGGAGUAGGUUAGCAUAACAUGGAAUCAAUUAUUGUACUAGACAUAUAAAACUGUCAGGUUUAAUACUUAACUGUAGUAUUUGCCUUGAAUGCUUGAUUUCCAGUCAUGUGUGAAGCUCCAGAAAGACAGAGAUAUCAGACAGAUUUUGGUGGAAGAAAUGACUUUGAGUACCCCGAGUUACAAAGGGAAAUCUGGAUGAGUGAUACACCCUGGGAAAGGAGUCCUUUUUCAAUCAAACACUUCCCAGUCCCUUAAAGUAAAGUAACGCAGAACACAAACUGCAGAACAAAUAUUAAGUUUCUAUUCUGCAUUGCCAUAGUUGAGACACCAUCUCAUUUCUUUCUCAGCUUCUCUGGAACCAGCUCUGCUUUAGCUGGAACAUUCUUCCCAUUCUUUUCCUUCUUUUUUUCUUAUUUCUGUACACAGAAGGAGAGAAUCAAACACAAAAGAUCUGCCUUGACUUUCACAGCUCUUCUAAUGCUUACAACUAAGCUUUAUUAUAUUAUUUAUUAUACACAAUGGAAAUAAUUAUUAUUACAGUCUUUCCUCUGUCAUGUGCUUUAUUACAUGACCUUGUUAUGGCCAAGGUUGCAAUCUGACAGUGUGCACUGCAUCGGUAGCGGUGACUGCUGGCAGGGAGUCCUUGGUUUGGGACUCUAAAACUGAUGGAUUAAACAGCAUUAAGGACAGUGAAGUGCUAAUACUGCGGUAAUGGACACUGUAAUAUUUCAAAAUAGCUCACAAGUAGAACCAAAACAAUCCAUUGGGCCACUCAAAUCAUGCAGGGUCUGGUUGGAAGCUCCUGGCCAUCUGACAGCUUUGGUGUAUUGCUGUAAGUCCAGAAGCACUUGCUACCUGUAGUCCAUAAUAAGUUGGUAACAAAGAGUGAUAACAGUAUGAAGUGGAAGAGAUAUUCAUCUUGGCGUAUUUCAAUCUAGAAGUGACAAUCCUGGAUUGAUUCAUUCUCUGAGGAAUAAACCUCCUCUUACAAAAAAAAAAAAAGAAAAGAAAAAACAAGUUUAAAGAAACCAGGAUUUAUCCUCAAGAUCACCACUCAUUUUCUUUUAGAAAUUACAUUCUAGACAAUAAGAGAUCACAGACCUGUAAAUUGCAUUUUAACUUUCAGGUAACAUACUAGGGCUAUAACAAAAUCUGAGGACUAUUAUCAUAGCAAAAUAACUGUAAUGCUUCAAGGCUGUAAUAACCAUCUCCUUUUUAUCAUCCAUACUACCAUCAGGCCAAGAAACAGUGAAUUUCUUUAACGUUAUUCUGCCAUAACCUUUAACUAUAUGCAUUAUUUCAAACACCUGGAAUAAUACUUUAUAUGGCACAACAGAAUAAUACAUUUGC